rnacentral:lncRNA from 1 species
CCUCACAAAGUGCUAGGAUUACAGGAGUGAGUCACUGCACCUGGCCUCACCCCCACUUUGUAUCAGUGAAGGUGUGUCUGGAGUUGGUUCCUUCCAGUGGGUUCUUGGUCUCGCUGACUUCAAGAAUGAAGCCGCGGACCUUCGCGGUGAGUGUUACAGCUCUUAAAGGUGGCACAGACCCAAAGUGUGAGCAGCAGCAAGAUGUAUUGUGAAGAGUGAAAGAACAAAGCUUCCACAGCAUGGAAGAGGACCCAAGCAGGUUGCCGUUGCUUGUGAGGGGCGGGGGGGGGGUGCCAGCUUUUAUUCCCUUAUUUGUCCCCUCCCAUGUCCUGCUGAUUAGUCCAUUUUACAGAGUGCUGAUUGGUCCAUUUUACAGAGUGCUGAUUGGUCCAUUUACAAUCCUCUAGCUAGACACAGAAAACUGGUGCGUUUUUACAGACUGCUGAUUGGUGCAUUUACAAUCCUUUAGCUAGACACAGAGUGCUGAUUGGUGUGUUUACAAUCCUCUAGCUAGACAGAAAAGUUCUCCAAGUCCCCACGUCAUCCAGGAAGUCUAGCUGGCUUCACCUCUCAAAGGUUCAGGGUAGGAAGCAGAAAUUCCUCCUGUGAUCAUGAACAGAAAGGGAUUCUGUAGAAGGGAUUAGAUGCUUACCUGACCAUUGGAUGGGCCAAAGGAGUGGACUCUGGGCUAGGUGUUGAUAACACCAGUGCAGACCUGGCUCCUCAAGGGAGCUGCUACCUCUGCCACCAUCCACAAGAUGGGGGAUUGGGAGGCGGCCAGUGUAACCUUUGAGUUCAAAAAGACACCACCAAAGUCAUGACCUGAGGAUCAGCAAGCUGGGACCAGGAAGCCAUUGCUGCCACAAGUGCCCCUCAACAACUAAGAAGUGAAGCCAGGUGCCACAUCGUGAGGACACUCAACAGCCCUAUGGAGGAGCUCACAUGGAGAGAAACAAAGGUCUUCCGCCAUUUUGAAAAGGAUCCUCCAGCCCCAGCCAAGCCUUUGCAUGACUGCAGUCAUGGCCAGAAUCCCACUGCAGCCUCACAAGAGCCUUUGAGCUAGAAC